UCCGAGUUAGUAUAUCGGCUAGUAUAUCCGCCUUUCAUGAUCUGGGCGCGGAGGAGACGGGUUCGAUUCCCGUACUCGGAA
rnacentral:tRNA from 1 species